rnacentral:misc_RNA from 1 species
GAAAUGCGAUAAGUAAUGUGAAUUGCAGAAUUCAGUGAAUCAUCGAAUCUUUGAACGCACCUUGCGCUCCUUGGUAUUCCUUGGAGCAUGCCUGUUUGAGUAUCAUGAAAUCUUCAAAGUAAAUCUUUUGUUAACUCAAUUGGUUUCUACUUUGGUAUUGGAGGUCUUUGCAGCUUCACACCUGCUCCUCUUUGUUCAUUAGCUGGAUCUCAGUGUUAUGCUUGGUUCCACUCGGCGUGAUAAGUUAUCUAUCGCUGAGGACACUGUAAAAGGUGGCCAAGGUAAAUGCAGAUGAACCGCUUCUAAUAGUCCAUUGACUUGGACAAAACUUUUAUGAUCUGAUCUCAAAUCAGGUAGGACUACCCGCUGAACUUAAGC